rnacentral:rRNA from 1 species
UACUACCGAAGCUACGGCAUCAGUAAUGAUGGGUAGGGGAGCUUCCCAUACGGGUUGAAGCAUGACCGUAAGGACAUGUGGACAGUAUGGGAGUGAGAAUGUUGGCAUGAGUAGCGAGAUGUGGGUGGGAAUCCCACAGGCCGUAAACCCAAGGUUUCCAGGGGAAGGUUCGUCCACCCUGGGUUAGUCGGGACCUAAGCUGAGGCCGAAAGGCGUAGGUGAUGGACAACAGGUUGAUAUUCCUGUACUACCGAUAACCGUUUGAGAGAAGGGAUGACACAGUAGGAUAAGCUAAGCACACUGUUGGUUAUGUGUGCCCAAGCAUUGAGGCAGGCAAAGUAGGCAAAUCCGCUUUGAUACUUCUGGGAUGUGAUGGGGCGCGAAAUGUAGUAGCGAAGUAGCUGAUUUCACACUGUCAAGAAAAGUCUCUAUCGAGGUUAAAGGUACCCGUACCGCAAACC